GUUGCCGGUCACUCGGCUCCUCUCAAAUGCAUUAGCUGGAACCUUAUGUGUAUCUCCGGUGUGAUAAUAUCUACUCCGUCUGAUCACAAAGUCAAAGUCGCUUGCGACCAAGACCGUUAGGAUCUGCUUCUAAUCGUCCCGUACAAGGACAAUCAUUGACAUCUGACCUCAAAUCAGGUAGGACUACCCGCUGAACUUAA
rnacentral:misc_RNA from 1 species